rnacentral:lncRNA from 1 species
AGCUUAGUACGUUCCGAUUGCCAUCGAUUGUUGCGGGCAACAUCGGGAGGCGACAUCGCUCGUGGCGACUGAUGGCUUUUGGCAACGGAACGGCGAGGCCUCGUGCAAGUAGCGCCGCAAGGUGCCGUGCGCAUGGGGCUAAGCUAAGUACGUGCCGAUUGCCAUCGGUUGUUGUGAGUUGUGUCUGGCAUCGCUCGUGGCGGCUGAUGGCUUUUGGCAACGGAACGGCGAGGCCUCGUGCAAGUAGCGCCGCAAGGUGCCGUGCGCAUGGGGCUAAGCCCAGUAUGUUCCGAUUGCCAUCAUUGUUGCGGGCAACAUCGGGAGGCGACAUCGCUCGUGGCGGCUGAUGGCUUUUGGCAGCGGAACUGCGAGGCCUCGUGCAAGUAGCGCCGCAAGGUGCCGUGCGCACGGGGCGUAAGCUAAGUACGUGCCGAUUGCCAUCAGUUGUUGUGAGUUGUGUCUGGCUAUCGCUCUUGGCGGUUGAUGGCUUUUGGCAACGGUAACGGCGAGGCCUCGAUGCACGUAGCACCGCAAGGUGCCGUGCGCAUGGGGCUAAGCUAAGUACGUGACGAUUGCCGAUCGAUUGUUGGGUGCAACAUCGGGUGGCGGCAUCGCUCGUGGCAGCUGAUGGCUUUUGGCAAUGGAAUGGCGAGGCCUCGUGCAAGUAGCGCCGCAAGGUGCCGUGCGCAUGGGGCUGAGUUUAGUACAUGUUGAAGGUCGUGCGGUUGUUGUGGGUUGUGUCUGUGGCUUUUAUUUAUGGCGCCUUGUUCGUUUAUAUACUCCAAUGGUUCGUGCCUGGC